CGCAGACGUGAAUGAAUCUUACAAAACGAAAACAGAUCGAGCAAAGAGAGAUCUACUACCUACUACGCGUAAAGAAAUCCAUAAGCGAUGAAGAACAGGACGUAGGUACCUGCGACCGAGAGCGAGCGAGGAAGAGGAAGCGCACGUCAAAUCGAAGAUGCCUCUGCCUCGUUAUUUUUAGCAAAGGGAGGACAAGAUGGAGAAUAGAUCGAGGGAAGGAGGCAGUCGCCCGCCCCAGGAUUGGAUUGGAGUGGAGUCGGCCCGGGCUAGAAGUAGAACCCUAAUAAAUCCCAGCGGCGGCGCAGACGAGAUGUAGAUAUUUCCCUGGUUCGCGCGACAGGCGGGACCCGCC
rnacentral:lncRNA from 1 species